rnacentral:rRNA from 1 species
ACAAACCGCCUACGAGCUCUUUACGCCCAAUAAAUCCGGACAACGCUUGCCCCCUACGUAUUACCGCGGCUGCUGGCACGUAGUUAGCCGGGGCUUCUUCUGGAGGUACCGUCACCCUCUAGGCUAUUAACCCGAGUGGCUUCGUCCCCCCUGAAAGAGGUUUACAACCCGAAGGCCUUCUUCCCUCACGCGGCGUCGCUGCGUCAGGCUUUCGCCCAUUGCGCAAGAUUCCCUACUGCUGCCUCCCGUAGGAGUCUGGGCCGUGUCUCAGUCCCAGUGUGGCUGAUCGUCCUCUCAGACCAGUUACGGAUCGUCGCCUUGGUGAGCCAUUACCUCACCAACUAGCUAAUCCGACCUAGCUCAUCUGAUAGCGCAAGGCCCGAAGGUCCCCUGCUUUCUCCCGUAGACGUAUGCGGUAUUAGCGUCCCUUUCGAGACGUUGUCCCCCACUACCAGCAGAUUCCUAGGCAUUACUCACCCGUCCGCCGCUGAAUCAGGAGCAAGCUCCCUUCAUCCGCUCGACUUGCAUGUGUUAGGCUGCCGCCAGCGUUCA